GCGCCGGUGGUUUAGUGGUAAAAUCGAUGCUUGCCAAUACUUGAGUCCACUCAAGUAACAUCUGCAUUGGCCCCGGGUUCGAUUCCCGGCCGGCGCA